rnacentral:rRNA from 1 species
CCUACGGGAGGCAGCAGUGAGGAAUAUUGGUCAAUGGACGAGAGUCUGAACCAGCCAAGUAGCGUGAAGGAUGACUGCCCUAUGGGUUGUAAACUUCUUUUAUAUGGGAAUAAAAUGUUCCACGUGUGGGAUUUUGUAUGUACCAUAUGAAUAAGGAUCGGCUAACUCCGUGCCAGCAGCCGCGGUAAUACGGAGGAUCCGAGCGUUAUCCGGAUUUAUUGGGUUUAAAGGGAGCGUAGGUGGAUUGUUAAGUCAGUUGUGAAAGUUUGCGGCUCAACCGUAAAAUUGCAGUUGAAACUAGCAGUCUUGAGUACAGUAGAGGUGGGCGGAAUUCGUGGUGUAGCGGUGAAAUGCGUAGAUAUCACGAAGAACUCCGAUUGCGAAGGCAGUUCACUGGACUGCAACUGACACUGAGGCGCGAAAGUGUGGGUAUCAAACAGGAUUAGAUACCCCUGUAGUC